rnacentral:lncRNA from 1 species
AUGCUCACAGCAAGCACAAGCUGGAGCCGAGGCGAUGCUGGAGCCCAGCACACGGUGUUAUUGCCCGGGGCGUUUUGGCAAUGUGGAAGCAGCGAGACUGGACUCUUCGAAGUCAGGCGGGAUUUUAGGAAGCUGCUCCUUGCCUCCCUCUGGACUUGCCUGGCUCUCGUGUGCUCACAGCUGGCUGUUCGUUUCCCCCAUGCGUUUUGCCAACUUUUAAAACGCAAAUCAGCCUCUGAAGGAGCAAGGUUUAAAGUCAGUGCUUUGACCCUGACCCAAGCCAGCGCCGGCUCCCCUCCCUUUCUUUCCUUUCCUCCAUUCGCACAUAACCUUCCUUCUCCUUUUCAGACACAAUCAGCAGCCGAGGAGCAGGGCAGAGCCCCAGGCAGUGCCCGCAGCCCUUGGGCUGGCUGGAGCAGCACCUGCUGGCGGCUCUGUCUGACCCCGAUUGUGCAACCCACCUGGCUGCCAGCACUGCAAAGUGCGCUUGGUCAAACAGGCGAUGACACAAAGCAGGGAACGGAGCAAGCCACGUUUGUCCCGUUACACCUCUGUGCAACAUGUGCCGGAAAACGAUUUUUGGUUGCAUUUGCAAAAAGAUUCCCAAAAGCGGGUAAAAGCACUGCAGGCACUGAUGUGGUGAAGCUUGGCUGCAGGAGCCAGCCCUGUGCCAGCAGUGGGGCCAUCGGGGUGCCACUGAAGUGGGUGUCACCGAGCUGGCUGCAAGCAGAAGUGGCCGUGGUGCCAUGCAGCAAGGUCUGCACGGGGCUGGGGAUGCGGCAUUCCCUGCAGAGCACAGCAGCCAGGCGGGAAGGGGACGGCAAAGCCCUGAAGCAGCGAGGGCAAAGACCCCAGAGGAGCACUCGGGCCACCCUCAGGCUUUGUUUCUCAUCGCCACUUGCAACUUCACUGCACCAACUGUGUGAGGCUUUGCUGGCCACCGCCUCGGCAACGCCGGACAGGCAGCAGCAGCUCGUAACCGCAGCAGCGCCCAGCCAAGAUGUGCUCCCCCGUCGGCAGAUGGGAUUUAUUGCGGAUGAUUCGGCCUGGAAUAAAAACAUCAGCCCCACCUCUCACAGCGUAUUUACUGAAAGCCACUAA